rnacentral:misc_RNA from 1 species
GAAAUGCGAUAAGUAGUGUGAAUUGCAGAAUUCAGUGAAUCAUCGAAUCUUUGAACGCACAUUGCGCCCCUUGGUAUUCCAUGGGGCAUGCCUGUUCGAGCGUCAUUUGUACCCUCAAGCUCUGCUUGGUGUUGGGUGUUUGUCCCGUCUCCGCGCGUGGACUCGCCCCAAAGUGAUUGGCAGCCGGCGUACUGGUCCCGGAGCGCAGCACAUGUCGCGCAAACGAGUGCCUUGGUACGGCGACAUCCAUAAGCCCCUCUCUCACGCUCUUGACCUCGGAUCAGGUAGGGAUACCCGCUGAACUUAAGC